AUUGAACGCUGGCGGCAGGCCUAACACAUGCAAGUCGAGCGGAUGAAGGGAGCUUUCUCCUGUAUUCAGCUGCGGACGGGUGAGUAAUGCCUAGGAAUCUGCCUUGUCUUUGGGGAUAACGUCCCUUCACGGGCCCUAAUACCGCAUACGUCCUUAGGGUGAAAGUGGGGGAUCUUCGGACCUCACGCUAUUAGAUGACCCUAGGUCGGAUUAGCUAGUUGGUGGGGUAAAGGCCUACCAAGGCGACGAUCCGUAGCUGGUCUGAGAGGAUGAUCAGUCACACUGGAACUGAGACACGGUCCAGACUCCUACGGGAGGCAGCAGUGGGGAAUAUUGGACAAUGGGCGAAAGCCUGAUCGAGCAAUGCCGCGUGUGUGAAGAAGGUCUUCGGAUCGUAAAGCACUGUAAGUAGGGAGGAAGAGAAGUAAGAUUAUACCUUGAUGUUUUGACGGUACCAAAAGAAUAAGCAACGGCUAACUACGUG
rnacentral:rRNA from 1 species